rnacentral:rRNA from 1 species
AUGGUAAAGUGGGCAGAUAUUUGCAUGCCUAAAGACCUGGGUGGACUAGGCAUCAUUGCCUCCCGUCGCAUGAACAUGGUGCUCAUGCUGAGAUGGGUAUGGAGGAUCCUACGCGGCGAGGGAGGACUAUGGCUAUAGCUCAUUCAGGCGAAAUAUCUUAGGGGAGAACCGCUCUUGGCAUGCACCCGGACGGAUGGCUCA